GAUGAAUGCUGGCGGCGUGCCUAACACAUGCAAGUCGAGCGGUAAGGCCCCUUCGGGGGUACACGAGCGGCGGACGGCUGAGUAACGCGUGGGAACAUGCCCCAAAGUGAGGGAUAAGCUCCAGAAAUGGAGUCUAAUACCGCAUAUGGUCUUCGGAUUAAAGGAUUUAUCCGCUUUGGGAGUGGCCUGCGUACGAUUAGAUAGUUGGUGAGGUAAUGGCUUACCAAGUCUACGAUCGUUAACUGGUCUGAGAGGAUGAUCAGUCAGACUGGAACUGAGACACGGUCCAGACUCCUACGGGUGGCAG
rnacentral:rRNA from 1 species